AUCUGGACGUGGCAGAUAUUGUCUAUGAUUCCAGGAUAUUAUUUUUUACUCCAUGACCGGGCGGUGAUCUUAUCAAAUCCGGCUCCGUCAUCAUUCAAUACUCAUUACCGUUGUCAGUUAACACGACAACAUAUAAUAUUAUUCUUAAUAUUAUAAUUUUAUGUGGUUACCGAUUGGCUAUUACCAUUACUGAAGCGGCAAGUCGUUUAAAAAUUGAUUGAGUAGUAAGCACACACUGUACAUCAACGGGAAGCUUGUGUGCUGGCCGCUAAAAGAUAUUGUCCGAAAAUAAAUUUGUAAAUUUUUGAUCAUCUCUUAUUCUCUCGGUGUUGCGAUCAAGUACGAGACACACCGCUGUCCAAUAAUGAUUACAGACGUUCAAUUAGCUGUAUUUGCCAAUGUAUUGGGUGUUGGCUUAUUUCUUCUAGUUGUUCUCUACCAUUACGUCACUGCAAAUUUUCCAUCAAAAUAAUUUUAUCAUUAAUAUCCAUGUGAACUACAUUCCGGCAAGUGGCAAUAUAUAGCACGAUGUUCAACUACAAGUUGGAUAUCAUUCCACAUUUAAUACAAAAUGAAAUAAUACUCAAUUUAUUUUUCAAACUAAAUUCACCUCUUCAAUGUUUACAGAAAAUUAAUUUAAAUUAAAAAAAUAUAUGUAGGGUCAUUCAAAUUAUUGUAAUUUUUUCUUUAAAGUACUUUGAAUGACCCUGCAUUGAGUCAUAUAUUAAUCAAUUCAUCAACACAAAAAUUAAUUUUAUACAAAAAAAUAAUCUAUUUUUAUUUUUUAUAUAAUUAUAAUCUUUUUUUCUCCAUACAUUCAGUUUAAUAUAAUUAAUUAGAGUAUUAUUAUCAAAAGUAUAUUAUGUACACUAUUUGCUUAAAUUAAAUUAUUAAAUAUUUAUACUUCAUUUAAUUUUAUAAUUUGAUUAGCCAAUUUUAUUGAAAUUAAAAUUACAAUAUUACUGUUUGUACAAUUAUGUGUACUGAUAUAUUAUAAUUAAUAAAGGCUAUAAGAUUUUUAUCUUUAUGCUAAAUACCCAGUACUCGGACAGAUCAUUGUGUUUAAGUCAUUGGUUGAGCAAAAUGUUUAUUAGAUGAAUAAAAUAAUAAGAUUCUGAAGAACUUGAGGUAGGUACCUAUGUAUACUCAUGAUAAUAGCCACUUAUAACAUUAAAUUUCUAUGAUCAACAACCAGUCAUCUGUACUUAUAUUAUAUAACAGGGAUAGCAGUUUUUCUAAUGUUACGUGCCAAAAACUACGUAAUAUUUUUUUUCUGCACGUCAUUUAAUUAUUAAAUGUAUGUAAAAAUAUGAAAAUAUUUAUAGAAUUUAUACUUAGCCGUCGCAUCGUUUUACGUCUAAAAUGUUUAAGCGAACCUACAAUAUUUAAAGACGUUAACAUUAAUGGAAAAGUUUAAAGUACAUAUAAUAGAAUCUUGUUUAUCAUUGAAAAUAAAAUACAAUUUGUAUACAAUUUUAAUGUUUAAUGAACUGAUAUUGUUCCUUUACUAAUUUUGGAUACGUUUAUCUAGUAUUCUAGUUAUAUCGUAUUAUAUAGGUCCCUCGUUCCUAUGCGGCUAUGCUAUUGUAUUUUAUUUACGGCUACCUAUAAUAUAUUGGUAUUUGGUUGUCUGUAGGUUAUCCGCGCAAAAGUAAAAUAGGUAGGUAUCUUAAUUAUUGAGAACUUUAGUGAAAUAGGUAGGUACUUACAUGAUACCAUAUUAAAUUUGUUCUGUUAGUUACACAAUUUAAAAAUAUCGAAAUUCUCAUUUGAGAAGGAUCAAUUAGAUCUAUAUUUAACAAUAAUUUAAAUAGUUUGUGAUCAGCUGUUAGGAUGGAUUUUAAUACUAUUUAUCCCCAUAGCUUUUGCCACUGCAUCGCAUGAAUGAGUUAUGAUAUAUGACUAUUACAUAUUUUUAUAGUAUUAACCUUUUUUUUUUUGUAAUAAGUUUCAUAAGCUGAUAAUCUUAUAAUUUAUACAGUUAAACAUAAAAAGUCUGAUCCAGUGGCCUGCACUCACGUGAUAUUUAUAAUAUGGUCCUUUAAUUUUAUUUACUUACCUAAACUAGUUAAACGUUUUAAACAUUUUGCGUUUUCUUUAAAUUUAUUUUAUUUGUAAAAUAAUUAAUAAUAUAUAAUAUGUUAAAUAUAAAUAGUUUUAGUACUCAUAAAAGAUACAGUUGAUAAAAUAAUUUGAUGUGAGGAUAUCAUUGUAUAUUUACCUAUAAAUACAUUUUGAAAUUUGUGCAAAAUUGUUACCUAUAUAGGUAAAUGAGAUCUACCUAUAUAUUGUUUUGUAAUAAAUCCUUACGUUAGAACACCAAUAGGUAGUAGGUACUGACGGCAUUGACAUGAUAUUUGUAGACUGUACUUAUAAACGCUAUGAAAGUAUGAACCUAUUUAUUGUAUUUAAAUUUUAAUAAUUUAAAUGUUAGGUAUUUUAUUACGAUUGCCUAUAUCGAACCCCUUAAAAAGCUCUUAUAAUAUGCUGUUUUCUUUACCAAGAUUCACGUUUAUUUUUCUAAACAAUAUUUUCCGUUGAAUAAUUUAAACUCAAAAAGCCACUAGGAAGUAGUUUGAUAUUUAUUAAAACAUGACCUUUACGACUAAACAUAUAUUGUAUUGAAUAAACUAGCAGCACAUUAACGUCUAACACAUAAAUUGAGUUUUGUUUAUGUUAGUCCAGUGGACUAAAAGGUACAAAAAGGUCAAUCAAUUAUUUUAUAACCACGGACACGCAAAAAAAGUCUCAGGAAUAAUACAUCCAGCUGGUAGCUGCAGUCGUUUAAUUUAAGGUAAAAUGUUGUAACCAUUUAAAAAAAACUGCUUUAGACAACGUUGUACAGGAAAAAAUUAACGUGAUUUUCGCAAAAAAUGUUUCUUAGCGCAUUUUUAUUGAACACUCAGUCAUGGACGAUGGACCUAUUUGUUUUUUUUGUUGGGGGGGGGAGAGGAAGAGAAAAGAAUUAGGUUAUUUUUUAUUGCAAAUUCAAGCAUUUAGUUUUAAUUGUAUCAUACAAUAUCAACAUUAUGCACAUAAAAUAUCAUCUGUUUAUAAAUUAUAGAUGUUUAUAUUUUUUAGUAACUUAUUUUUUUAUAUUAUGGGCAAAUACUCAGGUCUGGUGCGUAACCGUUCCUCCUUUGCUCUUUAGAAAAUACCUACAGACGUAGAUAUAAUACAGAUAUAUUUUUCCUAAGUCGUGGGCUGAAAUAUUUGAUGGGGAUUUGCAAAACGCCUUUUAAUUUUAAUUUCAUAAUUUGUUGCGACUUACAAGAUAUUUGAACAAUACGAGAGUGUAGGUACUAAGAUAAAAAAAAGACAUGUUUUAUUGAAUUAAGAAUCUUUGUAUUGAUAUGGUAAAUUCAAAUGAUAUUUAUAUUUAAUAAGUAAAUCGUAAUAUACCUACCUAACGUAUUUAAAAUAAAACAUUUUAUAGGUUAAAUUGUAUAUAUACCUAUAUUAGGUACACGGUACACGCAAGUCACUAUAGCUUUCAAGUAGGUAACCUAUAUAAGAGCUACAAAAAGUUAUAAAUUAAUAUCAACAAAAAAAACUUUUAAUCGAUUAUAAUUUUUUCAUUAUAUCGCGUAAUCGCGUGUGAUAAUUUGUGUCUUGUGUGUAUUAUUUCCUCAAAAGGUUUCUUAAUUUCCUAUUACUAUAAUAAUACAAUUUGUACCUACAAUGUAUCUACAUAUUUACAUGUAGUUUGUGAAAGAAUCAUAUUAUUAAAUUUACAGGUACCUAGGACAAAAAAUUGAUUUGUUGAUAAAAUAUCACAGUACCUAUAGUUAGGUACACGUCAAAAACAAUUUCCUGAACUUGAAAGGUACGUGUACACUGUACAUAUAUACAUAUAUAUAAUAUAAUGUAAGUAUUAAGCAGACUGUUCACGUGUCUGUCUGAUAUAAUCUGUAAAUUUUUUUCGUUCAUUGUCUAAUUUUUUGUCAGUAAGAUCGUCACAAGCUAGAGAUGCUCUCAAUUUUGCAGUAGUGUGUUCAAGAUCCUAAAAAAAAAAAAAAAAAUUAUGAAGAUUUUCAAAUUUUAAUAAUUAAAAUUAAUCCAUCAACAUUUAAAUCUAAAAGAAUGGUCCAAGUUUGAUAAAUACUAUGUUUAAUUAUACCGAAUUUAUAUUUUUGUUAAACCACUUUUAAGAUCUAUCAUUAGUACCUAUAAUUCUGCUUUUUAAAUAUAUUUUAAAAUCCUAAAAAUCAAAAUUUUAAUGUAUUCAUAUUAUUAAAUAAAAAAUAGGGUUGAGCAUGCUUGAUGAAUCAUUUGCAUAAUACCUUGUGAGUAGGGGGAUUACUUCACUAUGCUCGCUUCCAUUAGUCAACCCUCAUUUUUAAUAAUGAACGAUAACAGUAGGUUAUGUUUAAUAACUUUUUAUUUUAUUUUAGUUAUUAUGGUAAUAGAAAAACAAUUUCAUUAGGUACUUUUUAUAUAAUAACAUUACAUCAUUUAAUACACUAUUUAAUAUUAUAUUGAUUAAGUUUUUUUGUUUAUUAUUCUUAUGAACUAUAAUUAUUAUGAAUUACAAAGUAAAUGAAAAAAAAAAUGAAUUCGAUUAUUAUACUGCCAUAAGAAUAUAAGAUUGAAAUUUGAAAGUACUAAAGUUAAAUUGAUUUUACCAGAAUAUCAUGCAUAAGUGUAAUUAAUAAAUCCAAUAUAAACUGUACAUAGGUACCUAUUACAUAAAUUAUAAAUAUUGAAUGGACACGCGCCUAGAAAGCUAUAUAUGUAGUACCUACCUAUAUAAAUCAACCUUUAUUACUGUAAACUGUAAGGUAGGUAAUUCUAAAUAAAAUUAUGUUUUAUCUUAUAUGAUUUUAUAAGCACCUAGGUACCAAAAUUAGAUAUGUUUCUUAAAUACGGAAACACAUGCGUUUACUUUUACUAUACCUAUUAAUUGUUUUAAGGACAUUGUUAGUACGGUGUACGAAUUAUAGUUAUAAUUAUUAUAAUUCUUGUUUAUAUAGCUUGAUUUAUUUACUAAUUAAUAUAUUUGUAUUUGAAUUUAAUAGUAUUUUUAUAAUUUAUUUAGUAAGUAAUCAUUAAAAUUCAAUAUUAAAAUCCGUUAGGUACUAUUGAACUUGGGCAUCUGUAUAAGUGACUAAUGCUUAAAAAGUUGAAGUAUUUAAAUUAUACUAUACAAUCAACAUUCAACAUAUAGCGUUAGAGUUUGUCGGAAUUAUGGUGUAAUAUUAUUACUCACUUUUAAAAACGUUUCAUUCCUUUUUUUUGCGAUUUUCUUUUGUUUCUCCAUCUGCUCUCGGCGGAUUUUAAAAAAGUCUCCUUCUUCCAUCACUACCAUCGUCUUGCGCCUGUUCAAUCUGUGUAAAGUAACAAUAUUUAUUAUUAUUUUAAUGUAAUAUCGCAGAUAUUAUAUGAUUUAAUACAACAUUCACUAAAAGUAUACCUAGGUGAUAGAUUCUAAAAUAUUUUCAUUCAUCCAAUAAAAUAUUUAAGUCAUUUGAAUUUUUCAAACAAUUUAAAAAUGAUAUUUUUUACAAUUUAGUAUGUACCUACUUAAAGGUAGUGUAAAAUUGUAUUGAAAAGAAGUCUCUUUUCGUUUCUAAAUUUAGCUCUACGACAUACUAAUAAAAUUUCUUACAAACUUAAAUAAUAUAAACAAUAAAUUAUAAAAAAUAUUUUUUUAUAUUAUACCUUUUACGUCUAUGGUUUGUAUACUUACAUCUCUUUUAAUUGGUUUUCUAAGUGGAUUUCCCUGUCUAUAUAACCACGCAAUACUUGCCUGGCAAUGUCUUUUUCCGACAUAAUAUCUGUUGAACGUUAAAAAAUAUAAAACGCGCGUUUGAACGCAACGAAUGCAAUUCAUGAAAUGCCAUGUAAAUCGGCGAUUUGUUUAGACCACAUACAUAGUUAGUUGCUAAGGAGGGCAUAGUUACAAGGACGCCGGUAUCACGAGGGUGUCCUGUACAUAUUAUACUCGUCGUGUUAUAUAAUUCCAAUAUAUAUAUAUCUUUAUAAUAUAUAUUAUAAAUGUAAAAGAAUAGGAUUUUUUUAUGUACCCAUAUUUUGUAACGACGCUAUUUAACUUUUUUCCAUUUUUUUUUCACAGAAUUGUUCUAAAUACCUUCCUUAGUGUCACCGCGUCGUCCGAUUUUCAAGGGUUUGAUUUUAAAGGGUUGGAAUCGGUAAUGAUAUAUUUUUAAAAAAUAAAUAAAAAUAAAAUAUAAUAUAAUAAAAUAAAUAAAUAAAAUUAGUCAGGUUGUUAUACCAAUACUAUAUAAAAACCACGAUAUAACACAUAAUCAUUGUAUUUUAUCCACCGUAGUAAAAAACAAAAAUUGAUACAACUUUGGAAUUUAAGGGUUAGAAACUAUAAACUUACGUAUACAUCACGUGGCAGUGGCAACUAUCACAUAUAUAUAAAACGGUGCUCGAGCACAAGGCCGUAGCCAGGGGGACAUUAGGUUUCAAACCUCCACCCGAAAUUUUUUUUAAAAUAAGAUUGAAUAGUUAGAAUUUCAUAUUUUAUUACAUAAUAUCAUAAUAUAACAUAUUUAUACUUUAACCCCCCCCCCCUCCAAAAAAAAAAAAUAUAUAUUUUUCUGGCUACGGCCUUGCUCAGCACCCCUUUCAUGGAUAAUUAAAUGUAUUCACACAUAUUAUUAGACUUGGUACAUGGUAUGUGUGAAGUAAAUACAUUUUAAAAUUCAAGUUUUUAUAUAGCCAAUUCAAAAAAAAUCAAAAACCAUAUCAAAAUAAACUUUAAAUAUCAGUAGGGGUACUGUCUGUAUGUACUAAGUUUUUUUAAGCGAGCACCUUUACAAUUUUUUGAGAUAACCGCUACUGUCCAUCGCGGUCGUCGUGCUCCCGUGACCCUAUAUUUUAUACAACACUGCAGUACUCUACCUAUCACGGAAUCGGCUGCAGCAAACCUGAGUAUAGACAACCAGUGACCAUUAUAAUAGUUCAAUUCUCACGAAUGCUAUCGGUUCUCUUAACCCCCUUUUUUAUCCGUGUAUCCUGUGACAGUUAUUUUUAAGUAUUACCUAAUUUUUAAUUUUGUGAAAUAAUACUCACUAUUAUUAUAAUUAAUUGUGUUGUUUAAUUAUCUUUUGUCGAUCCACGUUAUAAUCCUCAUUCAAUAAUUAUUGAUACAGGCGAUUCAGGACUGCUAAAUUUCCACACCACCCUAGGGGUAUUAGCAUAGGCGC